CGUCUCUCUUUGUUAACAAUCCUAAACUGUUUUGGUCGACUCUGUCAAGGACCCUGUUUAUUCUCGCUAUAUCUUGCAGUUUUUUCAGUCCCUUGCAAAAGCGUCUCUUUUCGAUUUCUUUUUUGCCUCUCGAAUCAUUUUGCCUAAUUUCAAUUCUGCUCUGCGCAGCUUCCUCUUGUCACUUGUUCUGUUCGUUCUACGAGCUCUUUUCUUUAGCUUUUUACAUCUUUCAUCCAACUUUUGCAGGCUUGUAUUCCACCAUGGGAGUUUACCAUGAAAACCUUUUGUUUUACAGAUCAAUGCUUCGUUUGCCGCGUUCGUUAUCGCGCUCGUCACGUGUUCUAGGUAACAUUCCACAUUCAACGAUUUCUUCUCGCUUACGAUUCUGUUCGUUGGAAUUCCUCGGAUCUUCAAGGUAAACGUGAUAUAUCUGUGAUCUGAUAAUGAUGGAUCGUCGAGUACUCUCCAUUCUUUCAUCGCCGGGCGGAUCUCCGACCAAGUCAACGUUACAUCCAGUAUUUCCUCUCUAAUGGACAUGCUGAACGUCGGUCGCGUUUGCGUGUUUUUACCUUUCUUGGGAUGGGUUCCCAUCUCUCAUCGUGUUUAUAAGUUUCCCUGUAAAAAAUUUUCGUAUAAUUCUCAUUUGUCUUUUUGUCUCUAAAUUCAGAUAGUUUCUUUUAAUAUAUGUGCUCCCUACUCACCUGUAACAUCUCUUCUUUUUGUCUAUAUGUUUUAACUUCUUGUGUUGUUUUUAGUACCUCUGGGUUAUUGUUAAGCCAGCGGGAUCAGUUUUAUUUAUUCUUUGUUGUAGUCUUUUGUCUUGUUUUCUACGUUUGGCUGCGUUGGCCCGUAUUAAAUUGUUCCUAUUCUUCUAUCCGCCAUUUUCAUGGGAGGGACGAAUCCUCCCCUUUUCGCCUCAGAUACUUUCAUUACGUUCCGGUCGUUUUAAUCGCCUUUGUCUUUUCCGCCUUAGUAUUAGAAAUAGAAUUCUCUGUUAUUGUUGCUUAUUGUUAUCAUUUCUUUAUUUUCUUUAUAGGUAUUUGUUAAACGGUAUUGUUUUCUAUUCUGUUAAUAAUAAUUCAUAUAUUGGGAUUUCUCUCUAAUCUGUGUUCUUUUUUUAUGUAUAAUCUGUCUAUUGUAGUGGAUUUUGGUCAUAUUACCUGUCUGUCCCUGGAUAUUUUUUGUAUUUCCAUUUAGUCGUAGGUCAGCGUCAUGUCUUUAAUUGACUUGCGUUGUAUCAUUAUUGCGCAUUAAGCAAUGUUUUCCGAUGUGAUUAUCUUUCGCGCCGUUCAUUUAAGCGGUUGUGAAUUACUGUGUUUUUAGAGGAGAGUCUCUUUUUCUAUUCGCUGACAGUUCUGCUACUUCUGUGUUUAUUUAUGAUAGCUGUAUUUGUCGGGCGAUUCCUGCAAUUUUAUUCAUAUGAUUAGUUCUUUUCUACUUACUUUUUGUUGUUCAAUUCUGUUGCUGUUUCAUUUCGUGUUCGAUGUUACAUUUUUCCGGUUGAUUUUUUAUUCCGUUCACAGAUGCGUUUCGCGGUUAACUCACUCGGAAAUCGCAAGCUUCUUUCAUGCUCCAGUCUUUCGUAUUUCACUUCUCAAUUUCAGAUUAUUUCACGAGACACCUCACUUGUCACUAUUCUGUUCGCUGGGAAUUUGUUAUUCAUUUUGUUCGUUAAUGAUUCGUCCGAAUAGAUUGACCAGAUUGACGAUCCAGCUGAGAUCGAUCCGAGCGUAGAUCGAUGCUCAGUAUCCUGAUUCGUCGUUUUCAGUUCGAACUUUCUUGAUCCCAUCCUCUGUUUCAUGUGAUGAUUCUUUUUUCGUGCAUCCGGUUUUUAUUAGUAUGCCGUUUCUCAUCCUUUUCACGAAAGAUUUCCAUAUCUCGUUUGUUGUUUUUAUCUUCGUUCCUUUUGUCCUUUUCAGCGUGUUAGAUUUGCUGUUCAUGUUCCCUGUUCGAAUGGUCCACUUGCUCUAACGAUAUUGCUCUCGUUUCAUUCAUCUCGUGAUCAUGCUCCGCCCCUCUAUUGUGUGCAUACCGGCCGGGGUGCUCAACCCAUGCCAGGCCGAUUUCUUCCCUCGCAACUCAUUUCCCCUGCUUCCAUUCGUAUUUCUAUCCCCACUACUUUUCUCCUCUUAUGCUUUCGAUGACCAUGCUAGGCAUUCCUAUGCUUGGUGUCGGUCGUUCCGUGUUCGGAUUAUCCCCACUAUUUGAUCGGGGCGAGAAUUGUCUCGGUAUCGUGUACAACUCACUCUAUUUUAAGGACGCGCGUCCUCUCCUCUCCUUGUGAUUUUCAAUCCAAUUUCGGGGUUUUUCCUCGUUUCUUUCUGGUUUGAGCUGAAUAUUCGACCCUCUAUUUCAGUCUAGUUCAGAUAUUAAGGUUAAUAUUAUGUAUUAUUUAUUGUGUAUACUUGAUGCAGGAUUUUUAGGUAUUGUUUGUUCUUACUGUACUUUUCUCUUUCUAUUAUGAGUUUCUUUCUUUUAGCAUAGCAUUUUCCAUUUUUCCGUUUUCCGUGAUUUUGUCCCUUUGUGUUUCCCGGCAUUAAUCGGUCACGUGUGUCUCAUUUUCUUUGUUGCAAUUAUUGUUUGUUAAGGAUGUUUUACGGUUAUCCUAGUAGGAUUUUUUAUCCUUGGGAUUAAUUUCGUUCGUGGUUAGUGUCAUUCCUUCUCAUAUUUUAGUCGUUAUCGUUUCUUUGCGAUUAAUAGCAUUUUAUUUAUUUAUUUAUUUACUUGGGCAUUUAUAAAUCUUUGUCGUUGGUUUGUUUUGUGAUCCUUUCUUUUCUCCGCGGAGUCGGUUGAUGCUGGUUUCGUCGUGGGUUUUGUACGGUGUUCGUAUAGUUUGUUUAACGCAUGUUAAUUUUGAAUUUUGAAAUUUUUGAGGGGGGUUCAGGGUUUUUCAUCUAUGUUGUUUUAGUCUGUGUUGUUCAUGUUUUGAGGCGGUUUGACCUAAUUUUCUUUUCUCUUUCGUUGUUAUCAGCAGUUUCCUCUUGUGUAUGUGUUCGAGACCGGUUUCUCUUUCUUUUUGUCGUUUAAGUUUCGCGCGUCGGGAAUUUCGGUUCACGCUCUUUUUACUCCAUACCUUUGGCGCCAUGUUGGGCCCAUGUUUAUGCCUCUCGUAUCUUAACCUAUAAGUGUCAGGUUGUUAUUCGUUGACCAUUUGAUCUUGAUUUUUAUGAACUCUUGCUUUAAUUAUGGUUGUAAGUCAUCAUUUUGGAUUUUUAUUUACAACGAUGUAUGAAUUGAUUAAGAUUUUUUACAGGUUCUGGCUUUCGAGAAGGAUGAAUCAUUGAUUUGGACGAACGGCGAGCCGGGUGAUCUGUUUUAUUGGAGAUAUUCGUAAUGUUUGUCAAAGUUAAUAAUAAUAAUAAUGACAAUAAUCGAGGAAUCGAUGUUAAUUUCUAAGGAAGUCUCGGGCGUUUGUUUAUCCGAUCAGACUUAAGAGUACCUGAUUGAUUACUGCAUGAUGCACAAGCAGACCUGGAAAACGCGAGGACAGAAUGACCAAAGCAAUGGCGUAGCCACUACUUCAAGGAAAGAAAAUACAGAAUGCAAACAUGGCGAAUUAACAAGGGGAAACCUCCCCCUUCUUCCGAAAUAUAUAAAACAUACAUACAAAGUCAACUAUACAACGAAAAAGAAAGAUAGAUAUAAAAAGAUACAUAGAACGCUGGACAGAAAUAAAAUAAAAACGGCUUCGACGCCACUGACCAAUAAGUCAAUGAAUUAAAACUGACAGGAAAAUGAUAAAAGAAACCAUAGACACAAGAAGAACUGGAGAUUCAUAAAAAAAGGAAAAGUCACGUAGAGGACAGUGCAAACAGACUUGAAAAACAUGAAACCGGAAUGGUCAAAACAAUGGCGUAACCACCGUUCCAAGGAAAUAAAACAGACAGAUACCAAAUUAUUAUUAUUACCAAUCAUAAGCCAGCGGUACAAUUUUACCCCUGAAAGAAACAUCACACGAAUAAAGAGUGAUGGAAGACUCCUACGAAACAAUUCAAACAAAAACAGGACAAACAAAUAACGAACGAAAAAUAUUCUUUACAGAAAAGCUAUGGACACGACAAGAGCGAGCUGAAAAGUCAUAAAAAAGGGAAAAAGUCACGUAAAGGAACGGGCAAACAGACCUGGAAAACAUAAGAUCGGAAUGAUCAAAGCAAUGGCGUAGACACUGUUCCAAGGAAAUAAAACAGGCAGAUACCAAAAAUUAUUACUAUUAUUAAUUAUAGAUUCAUGACACAAUCUUUUCCCCUAAAAGAAAACAUAACACAAACAAAAGAGCGAUAGAAAACCUAUACGGAAACAAUCUAACGAUCCGACAAAGCCAAACAAUAAAUAAUAAGACAAAAGUACACCGUGGAAAUAAUCGAAUCCGACAUUGUUGGCUUGAUAACAACCCGAGAAAACCGAAGAUUACGCAAAAAGAUAAGACGAAUAAACGAAAAAGAAGAGACGAGAGAAAAUAUGAACACGACAAGAACGAGCUGAAAAGUCAUAAAAAGGGAAAGGUCACGUAGAGAAUCACGCAAACAGACCUGAAAAACAUGAGGUCGGAAUGGUUAAAGCAAUGGCGUAACCACUGUUCCAAGGAAAUAAAACAGGCAGAUACCAGAAAUUAUUACUAUUACCAAUUAUAGAUUCAUGACACAAUCCUUUCCCCUAAAAAGGAACGUAACACGAAUAAAAAGCGAUAGAAAAUCUAUGCGGAAACAAUCCAAUGAUCCAACAAAAUCAAACAACAAAUAAUAGAACAGGAAUAUACCGUGAAAACAAUCGAAUCCGAUAUUGCUGGCCUGAUAAUAAUCUGAGAAAACCGAAGACCAUGAAAGAAGGUAAGACGAAUAAACGAAAAAGAAGAGACAAGAGAAAAGCUAAGGACAUGACAAGAGUUGAAAAGUCUUAAAAAAGGGAAAAGUCACGUAAAGGAUCGCGCAAACAGACCUGGAAAACAUGAGAUCCUACAAUGUAAACCAUGUAAGAAAACAAUACCAUCUAACCAAAAUAGAUCUGAGACACAACCAGAUCACGGAUGUGGAGUAUCUGCAAUAUUUAAAUAAGUCUAAGAUAAACGAACCUUAAUUAGAUGGCAAUCCGCUGCAUGAGAAAUACAACAAAUAUCAGGACUAUAGAUAAGUAAUGAGGAAAGCAUUCCUACAUUUGAAAAAUUAGAUGAAGUUGCCAGAGGCAUAGAGCAGAAAUUUGUUCCCAACGUCUAAAGGAAUUAUUUAAGAGAUGGCAGGAACACCAGUUUGAUCAAACAGCUCGUGAAACAUUAUUUUACUCUGUACGAUCAAGAUGACAGAUAAAUAAGGAAUGGGUUGUACGAGAGAAACGAGCUUCAUUCGAUGACGCUGAGACAUGUCUCAAAUUACAUUCAUAAACAGUUCAUCAAAAUAGUCGCCAUGAACAAGAACUUGUUGAAACUCGUUGAUUAUUUGUCAAAGGCACAUUCCCCUUCCCUCAAACUGGAAAACACGACGAAUUGAUGAAAGGGAAAUCUCCCCCUACUUCCUAAAUAUAGUAAAAAAUACGAAAUCAACCAUGCAACGAACAAGGAAAAAGAUAGUUAUUAAAAGAUUCAUAGAACGUUGGAUAGAAAUAAAAUGGAAAAAAGGCUUUUACGCCACCGGUCACUAUGCCAAAGAACUGAAACUGACAGGUGAACAACAAGAAAAGCUGAGAUAAAGAAUAAAACAGACACCACAAAAAUCAUUAUUCAUCAAUUCAUGAUAUAAAAUUCUACUCCUAGAGAGAACGCCAUGCAAGAGAAGAAUAAUGGGAAAAACUUUAUAAAAAACAAUCAGACAUAGCCCGACGAAACCAAACGUUGAUUAACGAGACAGAAACACCGUGAAGGACAAACGAAACCGAUACCGCCGGAUUAAAAAUAAUAUGGGAAAACCGAAGACCACGCAAAAAAGGUAAAAUGAAUAAACGAAAAAGAAGAGAUGAGAGAAAGACUAUGAACACGACAAGAACUGGAAAUUCACCAAAAAAGGGAAAAAUCACGUAGAGGACCGUGCAAACAGACCUGGAAAACACGAGGUCGGAAUGGUCAAAGCAAUGGCGUAACCACCAUUCCAAGGAAACAUUAUACAAAUAUAGAGC